rnacentral:rRNA from 1 species
AUUGAACGCUGGCGGCAGGCCUAACACAUGCAAGUCGAACGGUAACAGGAAGACGCUUGCUUCUUUGCUGACGAGUGGCGGACGGGUGAGUAAUGUCUGGGAAACUGCCUGAUGGAGGGGGAUAACUACUGGAAACGGUAGCUAAUACCGCAUAAUGUCGCAAGACCAAAGAGGGGGACCUUCGGGCCUCUUGCCAUCGGAUGUGCCCAGAUGGGAUUAGCUAGUAGGUGGGGUAACGGCUCACCUAGGCGACGAUCCCUAGCUGGUCUGAGAGGAUGACCAGCCACACUGGAACUGAGACACGGUCCAGACUCCUACGGGAGGCAGCAGUGGGGAAUAUUGCACAAUGGGCGCAAGCCUGAUGCAGCUAUGCCGCGUGUAUGAAGAAGGCCUUCGGGUUGUAAAGUACUUUCAGCGGGGAGGAAGGGAGUAAAGUUAAUACCUUUGCUCAUUGACGUUACCCGAAGAAGAAGCACCGGCUAACUCCGUG